rnacentral:rRNA from 1 species
UACGAAGGGGGCUAGCGUUGUUCGGAAUUACUGGGCGUAAAGCGCACGUAGGCGGACUACUAAGUCAGGGGUGAAAUCCCGGGGCUCAACCCCGGAACUGCCUUUGAUACUGAUAGUCUCGAGUCCGGAAGAGGUGAGUGGAAUUCCGAGUGUAGAGGUGAAAUUCGUAGAUAUUGGGAAGAACACCGGUGGCGAAGGCGGCGACCUGGUCCGUGACUGACGCUGAGGCGCGAAAGCGUGGGGAGCAAACAGG